rnacentral:lncRNA from 1 species
CUCCAACGAGAAACCAUGCAGCCAAACACAAGUAAAUGAGAACAUACAACAUAAAAUUUAAUAAUAAAAGUAUAACAUAAGCUAUUCAUCUCUUAUACAACAUGUAACAUAAUUUAUAUCAUGAGGUUACUGAAAACUAUAGAGUCCUCAACUAGACUAAAACUCACCAAAUGAAAACUAAACAUGAAAUUCCUGAUUUAGCUCUAUAAAUUGUCUUCAUCAACUUUAUCUGAAAAAGAUUAAACUUUAAAUGAAAUGAGCAAAACAACGAGCUUAGUAAGUAGAAUAGACUACAACCUAGGCAUGCGA